UGGGGGAAUAUUGGGGCAAUGGGCGAAAGCCUGACCCAGCAACGCCGCGUGAAGGAAGAAGGUCUUCGGAUUGUAAACUUCUUUUAUCAGGGACGAAGGAAGUGACGGUACCUGAUGAAUAAGCCACGGCUAACUACGUGCCAGCAGCCGCGGUAAUACGUAGGUGGCAAGCGUUAUCCGGAUUUACUGGGUGUAAAGGGUGCGUAGGUGGCAAGGCAAGUCUGAAGUGAAAAUCCGGGGCUCAACCCCGGAACUGCUUUGGAAACUGUUUAGCUAGAGUACAGGAGAGGUAAGUGGAAUUCCUAGUGUAGCGGUGAAAUGCGUAGAUAUUAGGAGGAACACCAGUGGCGAAGGCGACUUACUGGACUGCUACUGACACUGAGGCACGAAAGCGUGGGGAGCAAACAGGAUUAGAUACCCUGGUAGU
rnacentral:rRNA from 1 species